AUACAUACUUCCCCUUCUACUGCAACUUUAAUUUUAGUAUUUAGACGCUCAAAAUUCAUACCCUCCGGUUGUUGUACUUGAGUUGCUUCUUUAAAGCUGAUGUCGUUUGUUGCACUACAUAUCUGUUUAUGCUGCUGUUUCCAGACAUCAGAGGUGAUCCUUACAUCAACCUCAACUGUAAAGGAUGAAUGUGGGAAGCCCCAACUGAAGUUGUGUGGAAGAUAAGAAGACUUGUUGGACAAUGUUUAAUAAAAUUCCAACCUUUAAAUUUACCUACUAUUAGAGAAUGUAAAAAUUGAAGAGUGAGUCAAUCAUGUCUAAAUGACUAAAACCAAAGAGAGAAAGCAAAGGAUGUUGAGUUACAGUAGUUCACAACAAUGCCAUGGCCUUAUCUAAUCUCUCAUAAAUUUAGUUCAUUGCAUGUAAAUGUAUUUCUAUAUUUUAUUAGUCUGUGAUGGAAAAUUUCGGUGUAUGUAUGCAUCAGGGGUUCCUUUUGGGAAGUUAUUUGUAUGGUAGACUCUAUUGCAUGCUACUGUAAAGUAGAUUCAGGCCUGAAAACAGUGGUCGGGCCAAGGAAAUUAGUUUCAGGAUCGAAGAUAUCUAUCCAACCUGACAUAAACCCGAAUGCACAUAGGAACUAAAACUUGCACAAAGAGAAGACUAGAGUUCAACCUCCUCUGCUACCUGGUCUUCUCGAUGAUCCUGCUACCGCGUGUUUGCGCUUGGUUUGCAAGAGAUGGUAUCGCCUUCUGUCUGCAAAUUUCUUUUAUUCACUCAGGAAAAGUAUCAGAGUGGAAGAAGAAUGGGUUUAUGUCAUCAAAAGAGACUGUGAAGGGAAAUUUUCAACAGCACAAACACAACCACUUCGUUUGGAACUCUGUCAUUCGUGGCCAUUCUUUGAGCCCUUCUCUCUUAUCCUCAUGUGAACUCAACUUCUAUGUCUUCUACUCUGAGAUAAUGAACUCUCCUGAAAGGCAAGUUACUUAUACUCUAUACUAUGUAUAGACAUUUAGGCUUAAAUGUGCUAUCUUUGAAAGUGUGUUUGGCUCAUGAGUUCAUAUUUAAUUGAAACUUGAAACUAAUGUACCUUUUCUCCCUCUAAAAGUUUCCAACUAUUUAAGAUGUCAAAUGCUUGCAUAUAUAUGUGCUGAAUUCAUUUGAUGCUACUGGCCUGGCAUCAAUAAUUUUGCUUGAAAAGUUAUUUAUUCAUUCUUCUGAGCUAAUAUUCCAAGUUUUGUCUAGAUUACAUCAACAGAGAGAGACUAAUGUUGUUUGGUAUCUGGACUGUCUAGAGUUGUUCAAUGCAAUUAAGGGGAAAGGUCAUAUCAUAUAUUUUAUCAGUUAUGCGCUGGUGCACCACCAUCUCUUCGGGGUAUUUACAGGCUUGUACCCAACUAUUUCACUUUUGUUAAUAUUUUGACGCAUGAGAUUAUCUUGUACAGACAUUGCAUGAACCAAUUGGUGUAGUAGGACAAAUUAUUCCUUGGAAUUUUCCUCUACUUAUGUUUGCUUGGAAAGUUGGACCAGCACUAGCAUGUGGUAAUACCAUUGUCCUGAAGACGUCUGAGCAAACACCGCUAACAGCUCUCAUUGUGGCUAAACUACUUCAUGAGGUUAAAGAAUUGGAGACUUUAAAAAAAGUUGUAAUGAAAUAUGAUACCAAGGCUGGUGCAAUGGAAUAUUUUGAUCCUGAGAAAUACAAAGAUGCUAACUUAUCGGUCCGGGUUAAUGAACAAAUAAUGACCAACUUAUUGCAGUCCCUCCUGGUUGGCCUAUCGAUAAUAAGCAUCUUUGUUAUCAAGAAGAUACCAAAUUCAGUCUUAAGGGGUUAUUUUGCUUACAUGGCAAUUGAUAGUCUUCCAGGGAAUCAGUUUUGGGAAAGGUUAUUGCUCCUCUUCAUCGCCCCAAGCCGAUGUUACAAAAUUUUGCAGAAUCACACGCCUCAUUCAUGGAGACAGCACCAUUUAAAACCAUAGCUGGAUUUACAGCCUUACAGUUCGCAUAUUUUCUGUUCUGUUUCGGGGUCACAUGGAAUUUUGUUUCCGCUAUCGUUCUUCCUUCUCAUAGUUCUAAGAGAACAUGUUCUACCAAACAUAUUCAAUCCUUACGAUCUUCAGGAACUACAUGCUUCUGAAUAUGAGGAAGUUAUCAAUGCUCCACGUGGAGUACGUAGUAUGUCACUAAAGCAAGGCUGUUCGAGAAGCGAUAUGUUUUCUGAUGGAUCCAGUAGUCGAUAGAGAUCUUUGUUAUGUGCAGUGAUCGAUAUGCCAAUCUCAACACAGUUUUCUUUGAUGUUAACAUGAAAGGACUUGAUGGAAUUCAAGGACCUGUAUAUAUGGGGACUGGAUGUGUUUUCAACCGACAAGCGCUUUACGGAUACAGUCCACCUUCUAUGCCAAAUUUACCAAAAUCCUCAUCAUCAUGUUGUUGCUGCCCUUCAAAGAAGCCUACUAAAGAUGCCUCGGAGCUUUGUAAAGAUGCAAAAAGGGAAGAGCUUGAUGCUGCCAUUUUUAAUCUUAGGGAGAUUGAGAGUAAAAUUUUGUUCAAUGGUCUAUAAUUGUACUUAUGAGUUUCUACAAAUUGCUGUCAUCAUGGUUGUGCCAAAUUCACUAUAAUUUUUGUUGUUGAAGAUUUUGGAGAAAUGGAGUUAAUUGUCAAUUGAUACAGCACUACUGGCUCCUUAAAACAUCUUAUUUAUUUUUCUUAGCUCA